UACGGAGGAUGCGAGCGUUAUCCGGAUUUAUUGGGUUUAAAGGGUGCGUAGGCGGCCUGCCAAGUCAGCGGUAAAAUUGCGGGGCUCAACCCCGUACAGCCGUUGAAACUGCCGGGCUCGAGUGGGCGAGAAGUAUGCGGAAUGCGUGGUGUAGCGGUGAAAUGCAUAGAUAUCACGUAGAACCCCGAUUGCGAAGGCAGCAUACCGGCGCCCUACUGACGCUGAGGCACGAAAGUGCGGGGAUCAAACAGG
rnacentral:rRNA from 1 species